rnacentral:rRNA from 1 species
GAUCAUGGCUCAGGAUGAACGCUGGCGGCGUGCUUAACACAUGCAAGUCGAGCGAAGCAAUUUAAGUGAAGUUUUCGGAUGGAUCUUAGAUUGACUGAGCGGCGGACGGGUGAGUAACGCGUGAGGAACCUGCCUCAAAGAGGGGGACAACAGUUGGAAACGACUGCUAAUACCGCAUAAGCCCACGACCCGGCAUCGGGUAGAGGGAAAAGGAGCAAUCCGCUUUGAGAUGGCCUCGCG